rnacentral:rRNA from 1 species
AGUAACUGCGAGUGAAGUGGGAAAAGCUCAAAUUUAAAAUCUGGCAGCCUUAGGUUGUCCGAGUUGUAACCUAGAGAAGUGCUACCUGCACUGGACCAUGUAUAAGUCUCCUGGAAUGGAGUGUCACAGAGGGUGAGAAUCCCGUCUUUGACAUGGACUUGCCAGUGUGUUGUGGUGCGCUCUCAAAGAGUCGAGUUGUUUGGGAAUGCAGCUCUAAAUGGGUGGUAAAUUCCAUCUAAAGCUAAAUAUUGGCGAGAGACCGAUAGCGAACAAGUACCGUGAGGGAAAGAUGAAAAGAACUUUGGAAAGAGAGUUAAACAGUAUGUGAAAUUGUUGAAAGGGAAACGUUUGAAGUCAGUUGUUGUUAGCUAGGGAUCAGCCUGGCUUUUUUGCUAGGUGUAUUUCCUUGUUAAUAGGUCAACAUCAGUUUUGAUCACUAGAAAAAAGCCAAGGGAAUGUAGCACCUUUUUGGUGUAUUAUAGUUCUUGGUUAUAUGUAGCGAUUGGGACUGAGGCAUGCAGCACACCGAAAGGUUGGGAUAUGGCCACAUUUGUGCUUAGGAUGUUGACAUAAUGGCUUUAAGUGACCCGUCUUGAAACACGGACCAAGGAGUCUAACAUGCCUGCAAGUGUUUGGGUGGAAAACCCAAGCGCGUAAUGAAAGUGAAAGUUGAGAUCCCUGUUAUGGGGAGCAUCGACGCCCAGACCAGAACUUCUGGGACGGAUCUGCGGUAGAGCAUGUAUGUUGGGACCCGAAAGAUGGUGAACUAUGCCUGAAUAGGGUGAAGCCAGAGGAAACUCUGGUGGAGGCUCGUAGCGAUUCUGACGUGCAAAUCGAUCGUCGAAUUUGGGUAU